rnacentral:lncRNA from 1 species
GAGGGAGAUGCUAUAGAUGAGGAUGAAGAUGAGGAAGUUGAUAGGUUUGCUUUCUAAUGCAAAUUUUAUCAACCAAGCUCUAUUUCUCUGGAACUCUACCUUUGUAUAGGACCUUGACUUCCAUUUGAUACAUGGAUGCUACCUUUGUAUAGGACCUUGACUUCCAUUUGAUACAUGGAUGCUACCUUUAGAGUUUGAUCACUAAUUAAUCAACUAUUUUGUUUCUUAUAUACUGCUGUGAUUGCUAAACUAGGUUCUUGUUCUCUUAUUUGGUUGCACUUCAUAAUAUCGUUGCUUUUGUACAAUUUUCUUUCGUUGUUUAAAUAUGAUACCAAUUUCUGUUGUAGAACAUGUUUCUCA